AAAUGCGAUAAGUAAUGUGAAUUGCAGAAUUCAGUGAAUCAUCGAAUCUUUGAACGCACCUUGCGCUCCUUGGUAUUCCUUGGAGCAUGCCUGUUUGAGUAUCAUGAAAUCUUCAAAGUAAAUCUUUUGUUAACUCAAUUGGUUUCUACUUUGGUAUUGGAGGUCUUUGCAGCUUCACACCUGCUCCUCUUUGUUCAUUAGCUGGAUCUCGGUGUUAUGCUUGGUUCCACUCGGCGUGAUAAGUUAUCUAUCGCUGAGGACACUGUAAAAGGUGGCCAAGGUAAAUGCAGAUGAACCGCUUCUAAUAGUCCAUUGACUUGGACAAUACUUUUAUGAUCUGAUCUCAAAUCAGGUAGGACUACCCGCUGAACUUAAGC
rnacentral:misc_RNA from 1 species